rnacentral:lncRNA from 1 species
UCAUGUGCUUUCUACUCCACAGGUUUCAGAUGCCACUGCACUACUAACUCCCCAGUGCUUUUGAGGCAUGUGUUAGACAUGUUCUCCUCUGUUGGAAGUCCUUGUGGCAACUUCAAUUCUUAUCAAAUGCUUAACCACUUUCAAUUUUGCAUUCACUGAAGGGAUAUUCUGGUGUCUGUAGUCUGCCUGGGGGCCUCUGAACUACUAAGCGCAAAGUCUCAGCCGUAAGUGUAGUGAUUGCUCUCUUUAGAGGCAGCACUCGCUAAACGUUCAGACUGAACUUUUCCACCGAAGGGCGGGAUCAGAGUUUUUAAGGAUAAUUUGGCGGGUAUGGGCUCAGAAAGUGGGGAGUGCUGAUUGGUCAGAUUGCAGAUGAAAUCAUAGGGGGUCAAAGUGAGUUCUUGCUGACUUCUGUUCCUGAGUGGGAUUGCAGAACUGGUUGAGCCAGAUUGUUGGUCUGGGUGGUGUCAUCUGCUGCAUCGCAAUGCAGGGUCUGCAAAAUAUCUCAAGUACUGAUCUUAGGUUUUGCAACA